rnacentral:rRNA from 1 species
UACGGAGGGUGCGAGCGUUGUCCGGAAUCAUUGGGCGUAAAGGGCGCGUAGGUGGCCCCUCAAGCGUGCGGUGAAAGUCAGGGGCUCAACCCCUGAUCGGCCGUGCGAACUGGGGAGCUUGAGCACUGUAGAGGCAGGCGGAAUUCCGGGUGUAGCGGUGGAAUGCGUAGAGAUCGGAAAGAACACCAACGGCGAAAGCACUCUGCUGGGCCGACACUGACACUGAGAGUCGAAAGCUAGGGGAGCGAAUGGG